UUUCCGGAGAGUCUCAGUCAAAUUCCAUUGUGCUGGUAGGAUAGUGGUGAGCGCGGCAGUCUCACCAACGGUAAUCCACGGUUCGGUUCCCGUUUAACUAAAAUUGAUUUUAGAUCGUAAUUGACCUAUUUGCAUGUUUUGCCUGAAAAAUACGGUCGCCAGUGUUUGCAAAAGAUAUAACUGAACGGAUAUUAUGUGUUCUAGAUAGAAUUGACAAAAGAAGUCAUUAAAAAUAAUGGCGAGACAAUUUCUAUGUAAAACGCUAUUUCGCCCAAAAUGAUCUGGUGGAAUAAUGUAUUGAGAUGGGAGUCGUAAUUAAAUAGAUGUAACAUAGAAGAGAGAGAGUUACCUGGAGUUGAAUGGAGGGGAUAACGGGGAGAUACGAUGCAGUUCCAGCCUGCCUGGACGUUACGGCUAAUUAUGAAUCAAUUGACAUGAGAAGUUUAACACAAAAACAUGUUUUAUGCCCAGCAGGAGAACUACAGAGGGAGGUGGCACACGAGAUUCAACCAGGAGACUGGAUCUGGGUCCAAUCGCUAAAGAGAAAAAAAAGUGGAAGCAGCCUCGGUGGGAGGGACCAUUCCAAGUACUACUGGUGACUGCCUUCGCUGUGAGAAUAGCCGAAAGAGCUACCUGGGUGCAUAUCACACAUUGUAAGAGGGUGAGUCACACAGCACUGUCGGACGUUCGCAGGAGUUGGAGAGGAACCGUGACCCAUAUGGAACGGGGGUCAAACUCCUUCUGAAGAUUCCCUAUACCUGACCUUUCCCCAGCUGUGAGCGUUCAUAGAAGUGAAGUGAUGGCUUGGCCUCUGGCUGUUGAUAUGUUCUCGGGGAGAGGGUGGGGCUUCACGUGUGCACUGACCGUCCUGAGCUGUUUUAUUGUGGGGGCCAUAUUCCUGGUUCACCAUGGUCCCCCGGAAAGUGCCAAAGAGGAUAAUUUGACUCAUGUGCUAGAUGAGGGAAAUGGGAUGUUACCUAAGAUUCUCAGAAGGUCACUGAAACAAAAUAGUAAGGAAGUGAGGGUGGAAUUGGGCAAGGAUCUCUCAGUAGAAUUUUGUGUAGACCAAUUGGGGUCAUUCACCCCUUGGCAGUCUAGAACCAUGGGACUCUAUGGGAAGUAUUUGUGUAAAUCACUGUGUAAGUCGUGGAGCCAGGUCAUAGCUCACACUGAAAGGGAUGGCUACGUAAACCCAUACACUCAAUUUGGGACCAGGUGGAGUAUAGUAAGGGUUGGCGUUUUGGACUGUGUUCCCGAGCAAAGGAAGUAUUGUAUAAAGGUGCGAACUAACAUUAAGGCGGUCAAUACUCAGGACCUCGGUUAUAGUAUGUGGGCUUCGACCAGUUAAGUUAUAGAGGUGGAGACUGGGUUUGGGGAGUCCAACUUAUGGUUGGAAUGGAUUCAAUAUACGGCCAGAUCAGUGGCUAAAGAAGAAUGUUAUGUCUGUGCAAACGCUAAACCCCAGUUAACAACUAUCCCUAUCCCACUGAACGGAAUUAAUUCCCCUAAGGGAAUGGCAUGAAUGGUAAAGCUGUUCAUGAAAGCAGGAAUGCCAGAUAAUGACAGUUGUAAAAUGGGCCAGUGUCGCCAUCUGGUGGUUGUGCGGGGGAAUGAGUUUGACUGAUUGGACUGGUUAGGAAUGCAUUUUACACUCAUACAACAACAAGACAUGAAGUUAGCCAAACGAGAGAAAAGAGAUGCUCCAUCUGGGUCUUUUGACGACAGAGUAUAUAUUAAUAACAUUGGGGUUCCACGAGAGAGGUGCCGGAUGAGUUCAAGGCAAGAAAUCAGAUACUAGCAGGAUUAGAGUCAAGUAUUUUUUGGUGGUCUACUCUCAAUAAGAAUGUAGACUGGAUUAAUUAUAUUUAUUGUAAUCAACAGCGCUUUAUCAAUUAUUCCAGAGAUGCGAUUAAAGGGUUUGUAGAACAGACUGAAGCAAUCAGCUGGAAGACCUGACAGAAUAGAAUUGCAUUAGAUAAAAGGAGAAAGUGGGCGUGGUAAUCAGGACCGUGUCUUACAUCCCAGGUGGCACGGCUCCGGACGAAACAGUGCCCGAAGCCUCAGCUGUUUUGACCACCCUGGCUCACAGGUUGGCAGAAACUCUGGGGUGGAUACUUCUCUGAACUAAAUUGGGUAGACAGUAUUUAUGGAAAAAUGUGCUGUUAUGGGCCACUUUAACCGGUGUGACUGUGUUAGUCUUGUACGUACGUGGUUGAUUGCGUGUAUGUAUGAAAGUUAUUGUUUCCAGGACUCUGGAGAGAUCAAUGACACUACAGAUUCCAGAUUCCAGGUUCUGACCCAUGGAGGACUGAAGGCAUGUCUACAGAGGAAGUGGACGAAUCCGGAUCUGUCAUUUGUGGGGAAUUUAUGUUUGAUGAGAAUAGUGUUGAGAUGAAGGGGAAUUGGAUUGUAAUUUGUUUCAAUGAUUAAACUGUUUUUUAAUAAAGAUUGUAAAAAGAAAAAAAAUCCUGAAAGAGGAGUUAUGAUUCUGAUGCAGGUUUAAAAACAGUUGGAGUUAAGGUUAGAAUUGAUUAAUGAAAUGUGGAGAGUUGGAUAAACAUUUAUAAUUGAUUUGUUGAUUAUUUGUCUAUUCAUAUGAUAAUCUGAUAAACCUCUAUAAAAAGGUUAAUUAAGUUCGUUUAUGUAGAAUUGAAUGUAUAAUAUUUGAUCAAAGGGAGGAUUGAUAGAGGAAAAUAUAGUUUAGAUAAUCAAUUAUGUAUACAUUAAUGAUUAGAACCAUUCAUGCUAAUACUUAUGUUAUGAUUUGAAAAGUAUGGGUUCUUAAUUGUACUGUUACUGAAAAUGUAAGCAGAAAUGAAUUGUGUCUGUGUCUACUGGGAAGGUUAGGGAGGGAUGCUGUGGCUUUUCAGACAGAUAAGAAAUGCCUGGGGAAAUGUUCCAUUCCUAAAACAAUGGGUUCUUGUGAGAAUCAGAGAGAGGGUGUAACUGAUGACGUCAUUUUAUGUCUUCUUUAGAUUUAAAAUGUAAUGUUCUUUGUAUUUUGGGUCAGUACUCAUCAAGAAUAAAUGCUGAACUUGUUUUUAA